AACGUAGGUGGCAAGCGUUAUCCGGAUUUACUGGGCGUAAAGCGUGUGCAGGCGGGUGGACAAGUGGUGUAUGAAAUCGCCAGGCUAAACCUGGCGGGGUUAUGCCAGACUGUUUAUCUGGAGUGCGAGAGAGGGGCGUGGAAUUCCGGGUGUAGUGGUGAAAUGCGUAGAGAAUCCGGAGGAACCCCAGAGGCGAAGGCGGCGCCCCUGGCUCGCAACUGACGCUCAGACACGGCAGCAUGGGGAGCGAACGGG
rnacentral:rRNA from 1 species